rnacentral:rRNA from 2 species
UACGGAGGGUGCGAGCGUUAAUCGGAAUCACUGGGCGUAAAGCGCGCGUAGGCUGUUUUUUAAGUCAGGGGUGAAAUCCCACCGCUCAACGGUGGAACUGCCUUUGAAACUGGGAGACUUGAGUACGGGAGAGGGUGGCGGAAUUCCAGGUGUAGGGGUGAAAUCCGUAGAUAUCUGGAGGAACACCGGUGGCGAAGGCGGCCACCUGGCCCGUAACUGACGCUGAGGUGCGAAAGCGUGGGUAGCAAACAGG